UCCAGGCCCCUUCCACCGGCCCUUUAGGCCCGGCGCAUCCGUCUCAGGAAAGCUGGAACGUUGGGCCCCAUCCUGCUCUUCCCUUCCCCUCCUGCGGGACAAGCCACCAGUUGCAUGUUUCCUCCAACAGCUCUGAGCUGUGCCAGCUCAAGUUAAAAUUGUCACUUCAACUUUGGAAUUAACUUGACCUACUUUUAAUUAUCACUCAGGCAAUCAAGCAGGCACAGAAUCGUCAUUCAGGCUUUCUGUAAAUUUGGGGCACUUCUGCUUUUCCUUAUACAAAAGACAUGUUUGAAAGCCAGUGAAAUUACUUAAUGGAAGGGCAAAGAUGACCAUAAUUGUCAACAGAGAGAAGAAAACUAAAAAAGAACAAAAUGAAAAUUCUGGAACUAAGAAGUACAGUAUCUGCAAUUAAAACAAACAAGUACCUUUUUUUUUUUUUUUUUUUUUGGAUAGGAGAUUUUGGAAAUAUCACAGGGAUUAGUUGAUUUAAAGAUGUGUGAAUAGCAGUUUUUCACUCUGAAAAGGAUAAAAAGGAUUGAAAAAAAAAAGUAUUGAACCAAGUUUUGGUGGCCUGUGGAAUAAUAUUAAAUACCAUACAUGCAAUUAGAGACUCAGAAGAGAAAGGAUAUAAGGUUACAGGGAAUAUUUGGAAUAGAAGAAUUAUUCACAAUUCCUCAUAGUUUGAGAAAGAUAUCAACUAUAGGAAGUUAUGGGGACCUCACACAAGAUAAAUA